GAAAUGCGAUAAUUAAUGUUAAUUGCAGAAUUCAGUGAAUCAUCGAGUCUUUGAACGCACAUUGCGCCCCCUGGUAUUCCGGGGGGCAUGCCUGUCCGAGCGUCAUUGCUGCCCUCAAGCACGGCUUGUGUGUUGGGCUUCCGUCCCUGGCAACGGGGACGGGCCCAAAAGGCAGUGGCGGCACCAUGUCUGGUCCUCGAGCGUAUGGGGCUUUGUCACCCGCUCCCGUAGGUCCAGCUGGCAGCUAGCCUCGCAACCAAUCUUUUUAACCAGGUUGACCUCGGAUCAGGUAGGGAUACCCGCUGAACUUAAGC
rnacentral:misc_RNA from 1 species